AUUGAACGCUGGCGGCAGGCCUAACACAUGCAAGUCGAGCGGAUGAAGGGAGCUUGCUCCUGGAUUCAGCGGCGGACGGGUGAGUAAUGCCCAGGAAUCUGCCUGGUAGUGGGGGAUAACGUCCGGAAACGGGCGCUAAUACCGCAUACGCCCUGAGGGAGAAAGUGGGGGAUCUUCGGACCUCACGCUAUCAGAUGAGCCUAGGUCGGAUUAGCUAGUUGGUGGGGUAAAGGCCUACCAAGGCGACGAUCCGUAACUGGUCUGAGAGGAUGAUCAGUCACACUGGAACUGAGACACGGUCCAGACUCCUACGGGAGGCAGCAGUGGGGAAUAUUGGACAAUGGGCGAAAGCCUGAUCCAGCCAUGCCGCGUGUGUGAAGAAGGUCUUCGGAUUGUAAAGCACUUUAAGUUGGGAGGAAGGGCAGUAAGUUAAUACCUUGCUGUUUUGACGUUACCAACAGAAUAAGCACCGGCUAACUUCGUG
rnacentral:rRNA from 1 species